GCGCCCAUAGCUCAGUGGAUAGAGCAACGGUCUUCUAAACCGUGUGUCGCAGGUUCGAAUCCUGCUGGGCGCG
rnacentral:tRNA from 2 species